rnacentral:rRNA from 1 species
UACGUAGGAUCCAAGCGUUGUCCGGAUUUAUUGGGUUUAAAGGGUGCGUAGGCGGCCUGUUAAGUCAGUGUUGAAAGUUAAGAGCUUAACUCUUAAAGUGGCAUUGAUACUGAUAGGCUUGAGUAUAGAUGAAGUGGGCGGAAUGUGUCAUGUAGCGGUGAAAUGCAUAGAUAUGACCCAGAACGUCGAUUGCGAAGGCAGCUCACUAAGGUAUAACUGACGCUGAGGCACGAAAGUGUGGGUAUCAAACAGGAUUAGAUACCCUGGUAGUCCACACUGUAAACGUUGAUAACUCGAUGUUUGCCCGAAUGAGGGUGAGCGUCUAAGGGAAACCGAUAAGUUAUCCACCUGGGGAGUACGCCCGCAAGGGUGAA